rnacentral:rRNA from 1 species
CAAUAGCGUAUAUUAAAGUUGUUGCAGUUAAAAAGCUCGUAGUUGGAUCUCGGGUUUCAGGCCCGCGGUUCCGCUUCGUGCGGACACUGCUCGUCCUGACCCAGCUGGCCGGUGUUCCCCUGGUGCCCUUAGCUGGGUGUCUCGGGUGCCCGGAACGUUUACUUUGAAAAAAUUAGAGUGUUCAAAGCAGGCUUUCUCAAGCUUGAAUAAUGGUGCAUGGAAUAAUAGAAUAAGACCUCGGGUCUAUUUUGUUGGUUUUCGGAAACCGAGGUAAUGAUUAAGAGGGACGGACGGGGGCAUUCGUAUUACGGUGUUAGAGGUGAAAUUCUUGGAUCGCCGUAAGACGAACUACUGCGAAAGCAUUUGCCAAGGAUGUUUUCAUUAGUCAAGAACGAAAGUCAGAGGUUCGAAGAUGAUCAGAUACCAU